rnacentral:rRNA from 1 species
GGGCAGCGGGGGUGCAGGCUUGCCUGCACCUGCCGGCGACCGGCGCACGGGUGAGUAACACGUAUGGAACCUGCCCGCCACAGGGGGAUAACCCGGGGAAACCCGGCCUAAUACCCCAUGCCGCCCGGACCGGCCAUCCGGACCGGGCGAAAGGAGGAAUCCGGUGGCGGCUGGGCAUGCGGCGCAUUAGCUUGACGGCGGGGUAACGGCCCACCGUGGCGACGAUGCGUAGGGGUUCUGAGAGGAAGGCCCCCCACACUGGAACUGAGACACGGUCCAGACUCCUACGGGAGGCAGCAGUGAGGAAUAUUGGUCAAUGGGCGGAAGCCUGAACCAGCCAAGUCGCGUGAGGGAAUAAGGCCCUACGGGUCGUAAACCUCUUUUGCCGGGGAGCAAGGGCCGGGACGAGUCCCGGCCCGGAGAGUACCCGGAGAAAAAGCAUCGGCUAACUCCGUGCCAGCAGCCGCGGUAAUACGGAGGAUGCGAGCGUUAUCCGGAUUUAUUGGGUUUAAAGGGUGCGUAGGCGGGCUUUUAAGUCAGCGGUAAAAAUUCGGGGCUCAACCCCGUCCGGCCGUUGAAACUGGGGGCCUUGAGUGGGCGAGAAGAAGGCGGAAUGCGUGGUGUAGCGGUGAAAUGCAUAGAUAUCACGCAGAACCCCGAUUGCGAAGGCAGCCUUCCGGCGCCCUACUGACGCUGAGGCACGAAAGUGCGGGGAUCGAACAGGAUUAGAUACCCUGGUAGUCCGCA